UACGGAGGGGGGCUAGCGUUGUUCGGAAUUACUGGGCGUAAAGCGCGCGUAGGCGGACCUGCAAGUCGGGGGUGAAAACUCAGGGCUUAACCCUGAGCUUGCAGUGGGUACGGGCAGACUAGAGUGCGGUAGGGGAGACUGGAAUUCCUGGUGUAGCGGUGAAAUGCGCAGAUAUCAGGAGGAACACCGGUGGCGAAGGCGGGUCUCUGGGCCGAUACUGACGCUGAGGAGCGAAAGCGUGGGGAGCGAACAGG
rnacentral:rRNA from 1 species